UGAACGCGCCCGAUCUCGUCUAGAAUGCAGUUUCUCAUUUGCUGUGGACAUGACCAUAAAGAAAUUUCCCACUAGGUUUUCUAUAUGCUACUUUGUUAGCAAUCAACCUACUGGGGACACUA
rnacentral:snoRNA from 1 species